UGGACACACGUUCCACUUUCAC
rnacentral:siRNA from 1 species